UGAAGUAUAACUCAGUUGGUAGAGUGACGCACUGUUAAUGCGUUUGUCGCUGGUUCGAAUCCAGCUACUUCAGCCA
rnacentral:tRNA from 1 species